GCAGUAUAAUAGAUGUUAAAUUAUAUUCUAUUGUUUUCACUCUAACUAGCAAGAUGUCGGAGUUUAUGUUGGUUUACUAUAGUUAUAUAAAUAAUUGUUAAGAAUAUAUUAUCCUUGAAUAUACAUGUUGACUUCAAACUAUACGCUUCGGCAUGUUCCGUGCGCUACGAACAUCGCCAAAACGUUGCUCGGUUAUGACCGUAAAUUCUUAUUCUACAGAGCUCCGUACACGUCAUAAUUUUGCUGACGUCAUCCGGAGCGAUUCAUAGGGUAUAUAAACCCAGACUUUUCCGGAGCAUUUGCCAAUCUUUCCUAACACUUUUCCGACGAAACCUCCUUUGUAAUUUAAAUAUAAACCACUCCGGAUGGCAGAAAGUGAGGUAUAUAACAUAGUAAACAUUCCCGUAUUUUCGGAACAGUUCCACCCGGAGCUGCUCCGUAUAUGUUAUAAUAAAUAACCAGUUACUUUCCUGACAACAAUAAUAAUAAACAGCGGCCAUGUUUGUCCAUUGUUAUGAUGGGUACGGAGCUCAGAGACAGUUAUGCCUAGAUAUGACAAUAUUAUAAUUCAUCAAUGUACCAGAUUUUGCAUGUGUAUAACCUAUGUACAUGUAUGAUGUAAUUAACGAUUCCAUUAUAUGAAUACCAUGCGAACUCAAUAGAAAAAUAAAUAAAUGUCUUAACCGGAA